rnacentral:rRNA from 1 species
UUCAGCGACCAUACCAAGUGAAAAGCACCGGUUCUCGUCCGAUCACCGAAGAUAAGCUACGUUGGGUGACCGGUUGGGAUAACAAGGUGUUGCUGACA